rnacentral:misc_RNA from 1 species
CAACCAUCAAGCCCUGCUUGUGUUGGGGUCCUGCGGCUGCCCGCAGGCCCUGAAAACCAGUGGCGGGCUCGCUAGUCACACCGAGCGCAGUAGCACAUCUCGCUCAGGGCGUGCGGCGGGUUCUUGCCGUGAAAACCCCUUAAACUUCAAA